rnacentral:lncRNA from 1 species
UACUCGGGAGGCUGAGGCAGGAGAAUGACGUGAACCCAGGAGGCCAAGCUUGCAGUGAGCUGAGAUCACACCACUGCACUCCAGCCUGGGGGACAGAGUGAGAAUCCAUCAAAAAAAAGAAACAAGAAUACAAUAGCACAAUUCAUGUGACAACCACAUGUAGGUUUAGUGAUGUUUGUUCUCUGUGAAGCUAAGCUAUCUCAGCUAGGUGGUUGAGGACAUUUGUACUGUCUGGACUAGGCAGAGGUGAAUAUGAUUGAAUGUGUAAGACAGUGCCAAUUAUGUACCAUAUAUAGCUGUGUGUGUUUCCUUCUGUCUAAAAUAUCAACCUAUGCUUGCCUUUAAUCUCAUCCUCAAUUGCAAUGCUCAAAACCCCUCCUAGUGUCAUUAUAUUGUCAAAAAAUACUCUGAAUCACAGGUUUAGAGAGAUAAAAAUUCUAACUUCUCUUAAAGAAACAACGUCUGAAAAUCUUUUCAUUUGUGUUGUUCCACAUGAAAUGACUUUAAGUGUUGAAUGUGCACAUUAUUCCUACAUUCUGAGACUUAGAUUUAUAGCUUAUGAGUUGUCCUUCUAAAGGUAUACUCUUCAUAUGCCAGUGACUCCCCAGCUUAUACAGCAGUUAUGCCUUAUUGGUGAGGGAUGCGUUCAAAGACUCCUUGUGGAUGCCUGAAACCUGUUACCAAACCCCAUAUAUCUCUAGUGCACAUCUAAAUCUGUGUUUAGACGAACAGAACCAGCUUUGUACCCGAUUAUCUUCACCAAGAUGUCUGACUUACGUAAAUCUCAAACUUGUCGUAUUUAACACAAAGUUCUUAAUUUCCUUCCUUUUUCAAGCCCACUUCUGCUGUGUUUUCUGUUUAAGUAAAUAACACUCAUCCAUUUAGUUAUGUCAAAAACCUAGGAAUUAUCCAUGACUUCUCUCUUACUCUUUCUGCACUUUAAAUGCAUCAGCUAGUACUGUCUUCAAGAAUGUAUCCUUUUUACCCAGUCCUCGCCAUCUCCUUUACUAUCCCCCUUGCCCAAGCCACUAUACUUUCAUCCUGCUGUGGAAGCAGUUUUCCAACCCUCCUUACUCUCCUUUUGACCACUUAAUAUACAUUCUUCACUAGCCAGAACAAUCUUUGAAAAAUGUAACCUACCAUAUGUCACUCCCCAUUUGAAAUGUUCCUAUUGGGAUUUUAAGAUGAUAUUAAAUACUCAUUUUCUCAGCUCUCAAGUCUGGAUUCAAUUGAGAGGCAGACAGAUUUGGGCAAAUGAGAUAAAAUAUUUGUUUUGUAUUGAUAAAUGGUUGGAUUGGCAGAUAUUGCCUUGUAUUGAGUAUGGUCGUAAAGACAUCACUAAUAUUUAACUUAUCUACCUAUUUAUUUUCCCUCACUUUGAAGUGUGGUUAGAAUUUGGAGGAAGCAAUUUCAUGAAGGUAGAAAUAAGAUUGCCCUCAUAAAAUAUGUUAUGUCCUCAUAAAAUAAAUAUUUAUAUAUUAUAUAUAAAAUAUAUAAAUUUAUUAUCUGAUCCUUCCCAAGAGAGAUUCCGCACCUCUGGUUGCCCUUAGGCUUAAUCAUUAAGCCAGAACCAUAAAGAGAACAAAAAACAUUACCUGUGCCCAACGUUUUAUGGCCUUUGUCACUCCUCAAGUAGUCUCUCCAAAGGAGGAAUGUCUGACGUGGUAAGUAAGUUUGAGAGGAAACUGGAUUUUGUUGGAUCCACCCCUUCUGAAGUCUCUUGUUGUCUUCCUCCCUCAAGAGAUGUCUGCCCUAUUUUCCACUUGUUUGGAAACUAUCUCCCCUGUCUGGUGUCCUUGCAGCUGUGCAUCUGUCAGUCUGUGCUGGAACUACAGUACUGUUAUGUCAGUAACAUACAUCACAGUCGUACGUCUCCAGGCUUCUUAUCUUCCUUUGAACCUGACCUGGCUACUGUUUGGUGGAUUAUAGAGGAAAAGCUGUAAUGGGAAAGUAGGUUGGGUGAAGGGAUGAGAAAAAGGAAAGCAUCGUGGAGCACAUUAGCAGGCUUUCUCCAUGAAGAAGCAGGAUGAGUACCUUCUCACUGCCAAAGUAGUUGGAGGGACAUCAAACACCAGUGAUGGGAACACUGAACCUCACAUAAGGGGCAAUGCAGCAUCUCUGCCUUCUUCUGGGUAUUCCUCUUAAAUGGCUUGACAAUAACCACCAACCAGCACUGCCAUACAUGUGUCCUGUACCUAUCAGAGGCACUAGGGCAGUUUUGGAACAGAGAGCCCAUAGAAAGGCUACUGCUUAGAGAUAGCCAUUUUCUUCUUGGAGCUGGACCAGUGAAUUAGACGCAUGGAGGAGAGCUGGAAAAUCCCUUUUUGGAAGAGCUACACAAAACCAAAAUUUGGAAUUCGUAGCUAAUAACCAUAAAAAUUAAGAAAUGACUGUUGGAAGAGCACUGGAAAUCACCUGAUUAAGUUAAGAAAAACUAACUAGCUCAUGAGAAAAUUAUUUUCAGGCCAGCUGUAGCCUGUACCCUUUUGAAAAUCCCCUGACUAGUGAGUUCAUUUUUGUUGGAAUAUAGAAUUUUUCUUUUCUAAGCAGAUGUAAACUUGUCUUUCUGUGGUUGGCUUUGGAGCCCACAAGAUAAUUAAAUGGCAGUGCUAACUGAAAGCCUGGGCUGUGCUUAUAGGUUCAAGAGGCAGGUAGAAGACACUGGGUUGGGGAAGUAGGGCUAUGGAACUGUGGCUCUGGCUAAGAUUACUAAUGUCUGUGAGCGCUGGAAGAAGGGAAAUAGAAAUGAAAAAACAUGAAUAUGGUUGAUGGGCCAGACUGAGUGUUGAGGUCCUAUGAUGUAUCAAAGAAUGGCUUACAUGAAAGUUAUAAGGUGUGGAUGGAAAAGGUCAGUGUGGAAGAGAACAGAAUUACUAGCUUUAAAGCUCAGAGACAUCUGCUUUUCAGGAAAAAAAAAUACAAAAGUCUAUGAGUGAAGGAAGGAGACUAAGAGAAAGAAAGGUGAGGAAAAGAGGAAGAGAAUAAAAAGGAACAGAAAUGAGAAAAAUAUGACACAAGAAAAAAAGAAAAAUUAGGAGGAAGGAAAGAAGAAAGGAAGGCAGAGAGGGAGGAAAGGAAGGAAGGAGACAGGGAGGAGAAACAGAAAAAGAGAGAAUGAAAGAAGUGGAAAUCAAGAAAGAAACAACAUAAGAUUCUACAGAGAGGACUCAUUAUAGGCAAAAUAAGUAAAAGAAAUUUCUUUUGGCAUUGUCCUAUCUCCCUUGCAUUCUCAUCUACUAAGCCUUUUCUUCCCUGUGGGCAAUAUUAUUGGCAUGAGUAAACUCUCACCUUAAUAUUCCUAAUAACCAUAAGUUUGUCCUCUACUCCCUAAAACUACUGCCGUGUGUGCCAUGCUCCAAAGUAAUCUCUUAUUCUCACUUCGUAACCUUUCAUCUCAGCUGUGUGUCAGUUAAGAAGAAUUUCAUCAAACUAAGCCUCUUGGAUUUUAAAAGAAUGCUCUUGCCCAGUUAUAUCUUUAGUUGGCAUCAUUUCAGGUAUGAAAAGGCUCUGCUCUAUGUGCCCUUAUCAAUCCUGAAAGAGCUAUCUCCCCAAGCAAAAUGAGAAGGACAAUCAUAACUGGCUCAAGGCUAGUCCAAUCUGGCUCUGUCCUUAGAUCCAAAAAGUUGAAGUUGUAAGUGACCCUAGAAAUGAUCUAUUUCACACUUAUUGUCCAGACAAUGAAACUCCAGUGGAGAGUGGAUAGGACCCUUCUAGGGUCGCAUGAUUGCUAGUGGCAAAGCCAGGUCUGAAUCAUAUCACUGCUUAUGGAGAACUUGUUGCCCUCACCAUUGUCCUCAAAUUUCUCCUGUUGACAGCAGGAUCCCUCAGAGAAAAGAUAGCUCCAGCCAAAGAACUCAGUGUAGCCCCAUGAACUCUCCAAAUAAUCAUAAACACAGCUAUAGUAGACAAGAAAGGCUAUCUUCUCAUGACCCUUUCUGUGGUUAAAAUCCUGAAAAACUGGGCACUACGGCUAUAUUCCAAACAUUCUUGCAAAUAGUAUUUCCAGACACAGACAAUGAUUCUCAGAGAUUCUCACCAUAGACGGUGAGGCAGGCCGUUCCUGAGAUCUUCCCAAAACCAAAGGUAUUGAAGAGACACAUGUAAC